AGCGGCGGACGCCUGAGUAACACGUGGGUAACCUGCCCAUAAGACUGGGAUAACUCCGGGAAACCGGGGCUAAUACCGGAUAACAUUUUGAACUGCAUGGUUCGAAAUUGAAAGGCGGCUUCGGCUGUCACUUAUGGAUGGACCCGCGUCGCAUUAGCUAGUUGGUGAGGUAACGGCUCACCAAGGCAACGAUGCGUAGCCGACCUGAGAGGGUGAUCGGCCACACUGGGACUGAGACACGGCCCAGACUCCUACGGGAGGCAGCAGUAGGGAAUCUUCCGCAAUGGACGAAAGUCUGACGGAGCAACGCCGCGUGAGUGAUGAAGGCUUUCGGGUCGUAAAACUCUGUUGUUAGGGAAGAACAAGUGCUAGUUGAAUAAGCUGGCACCUUGACGGUACCUAACCAGAAAGCCACGGCUAACUACGUGCCAGCAGCCGCGGUAAUACGUAGGUGGCAAGCGUUAUCCGGAAUUAUUGGGCGUAAAGCGCGCGCAGGUGGUUUCUUAAGUCUGAUGUGAAAGCCCACGGCUCAACCGUGGAGGGUCAUUGGAAACUGGGAGACUUGAGUGCAGAA
rnacentral:rRNA from 2 species